rnacentral:rRNA from 1 species
AUUGAACGCUGGCGGCAGGCCUAACACAUGCAAGUCGAGCGGUAGAGAGAAGCUUGCUUCUCUUGAGAGCGGCGGACGGGUGAGUAAUGCCUAGGAAUCUGCCUAGUGGUGGGGGAUAACGUUCGGAAACGGACGCUAAUACCGCAUACGUCCUACGGGAGAAAGCGGGGGAUCUUCGGACCUCGCGCCAUUAGAUGAGCCUAGGUCGGAUUAGCUAGUUGGUGAGGUAAAGGCUCACCAAGGCGACGAUCCGUAACUGGUCUGAGAGGAUGAUCAGUCACACUGGAACUGAGAAACGGUCCAGCCUCCUACGGGAGGCAGCAGUGGGGAAUAUUGGACAAUGGGCGAAAGCCUGAUCCAGCCAUGCCGCGUGUGUGAAGAAGGUCUUCGGAUUGUAAAGCACUUUAAGUUGGGAGGAAGUGCAGUAACCUAAUACGUUAUUGUUUUGACGUUACCGACAGAAUAAGCACCGGCUAACUUCGUGCCAGCCGCCGCUGUAAAAC